ACGGAAGGCAGCAGUGGGGAAUAUUGGGCAAUGGGCGGAAGCCUGACCCAGCGACGCCGCGUGAGGGAAGACGGUCUUCGGAUUGUAAACCUCUUUCAGCAGGGAAGAUAAUGACGGUACCUGCAGAAGAAGCCACGGCUAACUACGUGCCAGCAGCCGCGGUAAUACGUAGGUGGCAAGCGUUAUCCGGAAUUACUGGGUGUAAAGGGUGUGUAGGCGGGAAUGCAAGUCAGAUGUGAAAAUCAUGGGCUCAACCCAUGACCUGCGUCUGAAACUGUAUUUCUUGAGAGUGGGAGAGGUAAAUGGAAUUCCUGGUGUAGCGGUGAAAUGCGUAGAUAUCAAGAGGAACACCGGUGGCGAAGGCGAUUUACUGGACCACAACUGACGCUGAGACACGAAAGCGUGGGGAGCAAACAGGAUUAGAUACCCUGGUA
rnacentral:rRNA from 1 species